ACCCGCUGAAUUUAAGCAUAUCAAUAAGCGGAGGAAGAGAAACUAACAAGGAUUCCCCCAGUAACGGCGAGCGAAGCGGGAAGAGUUCGAGCCUGUAAUCCCCGGCAGUCUUUCGGUGAAUUGUGGCCGGAAGAGGUAGCUUGUGUUGCGUCCGGCGUUGCCGAAGUUGACCUGGAAGGGCACGUCGGAGAGGGUGACAACCCCGUGCGCGGCCUCGGCGGGCGUAGCCGCUGCUGCCUUCGGAGAGUCGGGUUGUUUGGGAAUGCAGCCCAAAGUGGGUGGUAAACUCCAUCUAAAGCUAAAUAAUGGCACGAGACCGAUAGCGAAACAAGUACCGUGAGGGAAAGGUGAAAAGUACUUGAAAAGAGAGUCAAAGAGACCGCGAAACCGUUAGGAGGGAAACGAAUGCAGCCCGAUGGGCUUCGGUCGGGUUCAGGGGCGGCGGUGCCGUCGUAGCGGUCGGGUGGACCCGUGAGGGUCGUCCUUCCGUUGUCGAAGGUCCGUCGCCCUGCACUCCCGGUCGAUAGCCGGCCAACGUCGGUCCGGUUCGGCUCACGCGGAUGGUCGGGCAGGUGCCUCAAUGCGCCGCUUCGGCGUGCGCAAGGAGAACUUAGAGCCGAUUGUUCGGCAGUCGAACGUUGCGGACCGAGGAGAUGUGUGACGCUUCACACCGGCAGUGCAGGCUCGCCGUUCCGGCGGCGGGCCGGGUCUCUUCUGAUCGUUGGGUAGGCGCUUCUGGGACUGCCCGUCAGUGCCAGUCGACGUCGCGUCCUCUCGGUCGGGGGGUUGGUCACGCCUUGCGCUGCAGUCGCUGGCUGAAGGAAGGCUGCAUCCGACCCGUCUUGAAACACGGACCAAGGAGUGCAACACGCGUGCGAGUCUGUGGGUGUCAGACCCGUCGGCGCAAUGAGAGUGAAGGCGGACGCCUGGUCCGCCGAGGCAGGAGCCGUUCCAAACGGUCGCCCACUGUUGACCGAUCCCUUGCCACGCUGGGUGGGAUUCGAGUGAGAGCGUGCCUGUUGCGACCCGAAAGAUGGUGAACUAUGCCUGAAUAGGGCGAAGCCAGAGGAAACUCUGGUGGAAGCUCGCAGCGGUUC
rnacentral:rRNA from 1 species